GUCUACUGCCAUACCACCCUGAACACAUCCGAUCUCGUCUGAUCUCAGAAGCUAAGCAGGGUCGGGCCUGGCUAGUACUUGGAUGGGAGAAAAGGUGAUGUUAAAA
rnacentral:rRNA from 1 species